rnacentral:tRNA from 1 species
ACCUGGCUGGCUCAGGUGGUAGAACAUGUGACUCUUGAUCUCAAGGUCAUGAGUUCAAGCCCCAUGUUUGGUG